rnacentral:rRNA from 1 species
GACGAACGCUGGCGGCGUGCUUAACACAUGCAAGUCGAACGGAAAGGCCCCCUUGUGGGGUACUCGAGUGGCGAACGGGUGAGUAACACGUGAGUAACCUACCCUUGACUUUGGGAUAACUUCAGGAAACUGGGGCUAAUACCGGAUAGGAGCUCCUGCUGCAUGGUGGGGGUUGGAAAGUUUCGGCGGUUGGGGAUGGACUCGCGGCUUAUCAGCUUGUUGGUGGGGUAGUGGCUCACCAAGGCUUUGACGGGUAGCCGGCCUGAGAGGGUGACCGGCCACAUUGGGACUGAGAUACGGCCCAGACUCCUACGGGAGGCAGCAGUGGGGAAUAUUGCACAAUGGGCGGAAGCCUGAUGCAGCAACGCCGCGUGCGGGAUGACGGCCUUCGGGUUGUAAACCGCUUUCGCCUGUGACGAAGCGUGAGUGACGGUAAUGGGGAAAGAAGCACCGGCUAACUACGUG